rnacentral:lncRNA from 1 species
CAGGCACCAGUGUUAGAAUGAAUUACUGUGGCUCCUCCUCACAUAGGACCAAUAGCCCUGAGAAUUUAUCUGUGUUACAACCUCAGAGAAUAAAAUCAAUAGCUGAGUAUUAUAAACACUGAGCAGUCCCACGCUGAGGGAUGCUGAAGCAGGCUGCUAACACCUGGAGGGAACUGGCAAACAAUUUUUUUUAACUUUCCAUAUCUCUAGGGUGAAAGAGCAAAGACUUGAAAUAAUAAACAAUGUUUACAGAAGACUUUUCAGUUCCAAUGACCUAAGGUGGAAUUAGAAACACAGUUCAGGACUUGGACAUAAUCACACCUUUUAAUAGCUGCAACAAAAAGGCUAUAGUUACUUUAGCUUUUAGGUCCAAUCUUCAACAAUCUAUAACCAUUUAUGUACAUUUCUGGCUUAAAGAGACCGAUGUUUUACCACCAUGUAUUUUGCCCUCUUAGAAAGCUUCAGAAUCUUCAAAAUUCCUAGGAAAUUGAAUUUUCAGUUUUAUUGAACCCCACUGGUACCCACCAAUUAGAUGCCACUUUACAAUGAAACCACCCUCAAGCUCUUUCAUUUUCAAAUCUUAAUGUGGGAAGCGGAGACUAGAGAACCAAAAUGCGGGAGACACACACCAAAAUAAGGACAUCUCACUUUGGUUAAGCUAAACCAAUGUCCUUCCAACAGCAUCCUUUGGAAAGGUAGUUAAAAAUACAGAUGAAAAGUCAUCUUAUGUACACUCAUGUUAUAUAACAGAAUCAUGUUAUGUUAGGAAUUAUACUGUGUUGGAAUAUUCUUAGCAAUCAAGAAAAAGGUCCAUAACACCACACUUUACAUAGGUAUUUACAAAAUCACCUUUUUAAAGAAAUUGGUAGAGAUCGCAAAGCCUGCCAACCAAAGCAUGAUGGGGCCACAAGUCCAGAAAAGAUGCCUCAUCUGUAGAAUCUUAGCAUCAGCUGAAACCACAAUUCUCUCACUUUAUCCUAGUCUUGAAUUCUGCCUGCUUCUCAGAUAUAGACCCUCUUCUAGCAGGAGGGGUCCUUUGCCUAUUGGGGUCCUUCAAUGGGUUAGUCUUGGUGUCACUCCUCAUGUUAAAAGUGCAACAGCUCUUGAGAUGUUCUUCCACGGUACGGACCCCCUGAGAGUAUGCCAAGCCAUCUGAACCUCAGUAAUACCCCAUAAUUGGAGUCAUCUCCCUAAGGGCAUGUGGGGCUCAUGCACCCUCUACACUAGCUGCCCACAUGGAGAGAUUUUCUUCAGCUGCAUUCAAAAUGGUACACUGAUGUAGAUUUCCAAAGGCUACAGCAGCCUUUGGCUACACGGGCAUGGCUACAUGGACACCCUGUGUGGACUCUUCAGAAUCCGAUCUCUCUCUCCUCCUUGGGACUGGAUCCUCCAAAGCUAUCAUGUCCUCACAUGAA